rnacentral:rRNA from 1 species
CAAGGAAUUUUCCGCAAUGGGCGAAAGCCUGACGGAGCAACGCCGCGUGCAGGAGGACGGCCUUCGGGUUGUAAACUGCUUUUACCGGGGACGAAACGGACGGUACCCGGCGAAUAAGCCCCGGCUAACUCCGUGCCAGCAGCCGCGGUAAGACGGAGGGGGCAAGCGUUGUCCGGACUCACUGGGCGUAAAGAGCACGUAGGCGGCAGGAUGCGUCGGCGCUGAAAGCGCCCGGCUUAACCGGGCGAGGUGCGUCGAUACGAUCCCGCUCGAGGCAGUCAGAGGUUAGCGAAAUUCCGGGUGUAGUUGUGAAAUGCGUAGAUAUCCGGAGGAACAUCUGUGGCGAAGGCGGCUAACUGGGACUGACCUGACGCUGAGGUGCGAAAGCGUGGGGAGCGAACCGGAUUAGAUACCCGGGUAGUCCACGCCGUAAACGAUGUCGGCUCGGUGUUUGGGAAUGAUGUACCAUUCCUGAGUGCCUCAGUAUACACGGUAAGCCGACCGCCUGGGGACUACGAGCGCAAGCUUA